rnacentral:sRNA from 1 species
UAACAAGCAGCGCUAAUAUUAAAUCUAGUUCCAUCUUUUAUCCAGUCGGAUCUGUUUGACUGACGAAGGCUUGGAACGAAAACUGGACACAAGCUAGGAAUUUACAUGGUCAGCAUGUUAUCGCAGCUGGCAAACGUUUAGGGGCUUGAUUCCCCAAAGCUUGGCCGUCCAGUUAGGUUUCCAAGGCUCCAUAACUUCUACCUAUUAUUCCAGCUCCAUUUAAGUUUCUAGCUUGGGCAAGAAACUUUGUUCUACGCCUCCGUUUGCCAAUGCUUGGAGACAAGGGAGAUUUGCCCAUAAUGGAUAUUGGGGGAAAAUGGGCAGCUUAAAAAGAAUGACAUGCAUCGAACAACGGAAAUUAUGAAA